rnacentral:rRNA from 1 species
GACGAACGCUGGCGGCGUGCUUAACACAUGCAAGUCGAACGGACAGGCCCUGCUUUUGUUGGUUGCUCGAUUGGCGAACGGGUGAGUAACACGUGAGUAACCUGCCCUUGACUUUGGGAUAACUUCUGGAAACUGGGGCUCAUACCGGGUAUGAGCUCCUGCUGCAUGGUGUGGGUUGGAAAGUUUCGGCGGUUGUGGAUGGACUCGCUGCUUAUCCGCUUGUUGGUGGGGUAGUGGCUUACCAAGGCUUUGACGGGUAGCCGGCCUGGGAGGGUGACCGGCGACAUUGGGACUGAGAGACGGCCCAGAAUGCUAGGGGAGGCAGCAGUGGGGAAUAUUGCAGAAUGGGGGGAAGCCUGAUGCAGCAACGCCGGGUGCGGGAUGACGGGUUUCGGGUUGUAAACCGAUGUCGCAGGUGAUGAAGAGUGAGUGACGGUAAUGGGUAAAGAAGCACCGGCUAACUACGUG